UUUGGUGCAGGCCCACUAUGCAGUGAGAAGGGCAGAAAGAGGUGGCUGUCCGCAUUUGAUCUUCUUCUCCCUCUCUCCCGAAGAUGAGCGCCGCGCCGCCGCCCAACCCUCUCCCUCCUCCCUUCCCAGAUCUGCGGUCCAACACGCCCCGCCUCCUCUCCCCCUGUCGAUCCGUAGCCUAACCACCAUCGCUGCGCCGACCGUGGUGACCACGCCGUGCCGUCCAUAGUCCCAGCACCGCGCCGCCGGUCCAGAUCGCUGGGUUGCGACGGUCCUGUGACCUCGCAUCGUGGUGACCGCGUUGCCCCCUGUCGAUUUGAUGGACACUGGACCUUCCGUCGUCUUACCCUGUCCAAGACCAAACUCGUCUUCUCAUCUGAAGCCGAUCUAGAUCUUGCUCUCUGACCGGUUCCCAGGCGGGCGUCCCUCUACUUCAUGUCCUUGCACUUCGACGGGUGCCCAGGUGCGUGUCCCUGUUCUUCUACUCCGACGGCCAGCUACCCAGAAGUUCCCCUGCUUCCUCUUCGAUUGGCAGCCAAACGGCACACAACUGCGAGCAUGGUAGCGUGUGAAGGUAUCCCUCUCCCUAUAGAUUUGUUGAAUAGUUUAUAAGACUAUUUAGGAUGAACCGAUGUUGAAAUCUGUGUGCUAUAGGCUAUAGUUUAAUGAGAUGCUAGUUGAUGAGUAACAAUAUGAUUUGAGGCUAACACUUUUUUUGUUUCUGAACAUCUGAUUUAGUACGAGGUCGAUAAUUGAUAGGUACAAGACAAUCUUUGCAAGACAUCAGGCUUUGCUCCAGCUAUUGAUAUCCAUUUUCUGGUGAAAAGAAAUGUCUAAGAUGGUAAUUAGUAUCCAAGGUUAUGUUUUGGGGAACAAUUUGUUAUCGAAAACAUCUCUGCUAAAUUUGUGAUCAUGUGCAGCACAUUUGAUUUCGUACAAAAUACAGGUCAUGGGAUUAUGAAAGUUCUAUCGGACAAACCAAUGCUCGUGCGAUAUAGUUGUAUUACUGUUUACAGAUGUGAUCGUCCCGGUUGUAGACUUAACAUGAUUUUAAAUAGCUAAACUAAAGUAGCUAGCUCGGUAUGCACAUGUAGUUAGGAAACUGACUAGCUAUCUUACAGGUGUUCCCUAUACAUUUAAUGUGCUCCGUUAGCUACUAACUGGUUCCAGCUGAUUUACUUCAUUUUGUACACAACAAAUACUAUCUUAUUAUAGAUAAAUCGCAAAACAAAUGAUAAUGCAAUAUUUGCCCACCCCCUUCUUAUAUAGCUGAUUGGUUCACAGAGAUAACAAUCUUGUCGUCACAUCUGCCCUGAAGAACUGAGAAGUGUCAUGGAACUUACAUAUUUCUUUUUUAUAGAACUGUUGUUUGCUCUAUAAAUACCACAUUAUCUUGCAAUUCUUACAGAGAAUCGUACUUUGCUUUAUAAAUACAACAUAGUCUUGCAAGCAGUCAAUUUAACAUCAUUCUGUUGCUAUGCUCUUGAAGCACUUGAACCCGCUUGGAUCACGGCAAGACAGAUAGAAGCAGUACGAAGAGCAAUAACACGAUAUGCACGUCGUGGUGGAAAAAUAUGGGUACGUAUAUUUCUCGACAAACCGGUUACACUAAGACCCACGGAAACACGUAUGGGCUAGGUCCUGGGAUUUCUUACCAUCAAGUUGGUAAAAAGCCUCAAUUUAUUGGCAAUUGCUAGAAUUAUCUAUCAAUCGCAAUGGCAGGGACAUUAUUUAGUUCUAUGUUACUAGCAAGCCAAGUGUAUUAUUUUUGUCUAACAGAAUUCGUUCAGGAAGAUAGCAAAACUAUCAUAAACUGCAGGUUACAGCUAUCCUAUUUGGGACACUAAGCUAUACACUUAUCCUAUUUUUCUAUUCAGAAUGGCAUAGCUUCUCUGUUCAUACAAUAUUUUACUUAAAUUAGAAUUUUUCCUGCAGGCAAUACAUUUAAUAUUUUACUAUGCAAAUCAGUUUCAAUAUAAGGGAUAGUACGUUUUCCUAUGCAUCUGCCAACCACCACUUCUAUCUAUUUUGUCUAAUUAAUUUUCUUUGUUCUCUCUACAAGGUUUAACAAAUCAGAUGAUAAGGAACAUAUUCUUACGGGUGGUCAUGGUUUGCUGGUUGAUGGGCACAAACAAGUAAUUGAGGCUCUCGCUGAAGGUCUUAAUCAGAGUUGUAGAUAUUGUAGAUACUUGGCCUGACCAACUCAAGGUCUUGACACCCCUCUUAAUCAGAGGUGUAAAUACUUUGCCUUACUAGAGUAGCAGAUAAUUGUCCUGACCAACAACACAUGUACAUGCUGACUUAGGUGUUCUGCUAGCUGUACGAAACAUUAGCUAUGUUUACUUCUUGAAUUCUGGCUUGAAAUUGACCAUGAGUCUGUAAUUGAACAAGAAUCUGAUGUGUACAUUGAAUUUUAGCAUCAAUUUAUAAUUUUGAAUUA